rnacentral:rRNA from 1 species
UUGGAGGGCAAGUCUGGUGCCAGCAGCCGCGGUAAUUCCAGCUCCAAUAGCGUAUAUUAAAGUUGUUGCAGUUAAAAAGCUCGUAGUUGAAUUUCGGGAUCAGAGUGUCGGUCGUGCCUCGGUACACACUGGUAUUAUUGGUUCCUACCUUCUGAAGAACCGCGAUGUCAUUAAUUUGGUGUCGUGGGGAAUCAGGACUGUUACUUUGAAAAAAUUAGAGUGUUUAAAGCAGGCUUACGCUUGAAUACAUUAGCAUGGAAUAAUGAAAUAGGACGUUUGAUUCUAUUUUGUUGGUUUCUAGGAUUGACGUAAUGAUUAAUAGGGAUAGUUGGGGGCAUUAGUAUUCAAUUGUCAGAGGUGAAAUUCUUGGAUUUAUUGAAGACUAACUACUGCGAAAGCAUUUGCCAAGGAUGUUUUCAUUAAUCAAGAACGAAAGUUAGGGGAUCGAAGACGAUCAGAUACCGUCGUAGUCUUAACCAUAAACUAUGCCGACUAGGGAUCGGAUGAUGUUAAUUUUUUAAUGACUCAUUCGGCGCCUUACGGGAAACCAAAGUGUUUGGGUUC